rnacentral:rRNA from 1 species
AGCGAACGCUGGCGGCAGGCCUAACACAUGCAAGUCGAACGAAGCCUUCGGGCUUAGUGGCGGACGGGUGAGUAACACGUGGGAACGUACCUUUUGGUUCGGAAUAACGCAGAGAAAUUUGCGCUAAUACCGAAUGAGCCCUUCGGGGGAAAGAUUUAUCGCCGAAAGAUCGGCCCGCGUUGGAUUAGGUAGUUGGUGUGGUAAAGGCGCACCAAGCCUACGAUCCAUAGCUGGUCUGAGAGGAUGAUCAGCCACACUGGGACUGAGACACGGCCCAGACUCCUACGGGAGGCAGCAGUGGGGAAUCUUGCGCAAUGGGCGAAAGCCUGACGCAGCCAUGCCGCGUGAAUGAUGAAGGUCUUAGGAUUGUAAAAUUCUUUUACCAGGGACGAUAAUGACGGUACCUGGAGAAAAAGCCCCGGCUAACUUCGUGCCAGCCGCCGCCGUAA